UUUAGACAAAUCAUGGACAAUGCUACGAUUAAAACAUUUGUUUGUAACAUCACAAGUUAUUUAAUGAAAUAUUCCGUAUACGUGUAUAGUUUAAGCAAUGAUCUGAGCCAUAACCUUCGGAGCCGGCAAUACUACAAUCUUUAGACGAAAGUCUAAACUAAAUACAAUUUUAAACGAUUCAUGAGUUCCGUGAAUCUUUUCAUAACCUGCACUAUAGUUUCACGCGUAUUAAAGAUCCGGCGGUGCCUGACAAAGCGCAGGGUGAGCGUUCAUAUCUGCCAUUUUAAAAUAAUGUUAAUAAAUGUAAUUCUGACCACUAUGGCAAAAUAGGAUUUUAUUUUAGAUUUAGGGGAAUCUUUAACCAGGUCUCUGAUUAAGACAUGUGUAUAUGUGCACAGAAGGUGACAGAGAAACUUAUAUAUGACGUUAAUAAACUUUUAAAUGUUUUUAAGACGUAUUCACCCCAUUUUGGGGGUUUUAUUUUUAAUUAAAGGCUUCUUAAAACAUGUGUGAAUAUGUGUAUAUUAUACAAAGAGUCUUAUAUUGUCUGCUCUGACAAAAAUAAAGUAUUAUUCUAGACUUAGGGGAAUUGACUGCAUGUGUCUUAUAAAUACAACUUGAUAAUACGUUUGUUUUGUAAAGAGACUUCUUUAAAGUCACGCAAUAAUAAAAUAUUUUAGUUGUAACUGGUUAAACUUAAAGCCGAUAUUUUCUAUCGAACUAGUCUAUUUUCUGUACAGACACAAAGUUUUCUGAUGCUGAUAUUAUGUCAGUGUGUGUUUGUGUGGGGGUCGUGUGAUGUAAUCUUUGCAAAGUUUAUGACCGAACCUUUAUUGGGGAGCGACAAGAGAUCCCCCGGAAUCAGUUUGGAUCGAGCAGAGCUGUUAUACUCAAGUCUAUUGCGAAAUUGUCUAAACUGGUAUUAACUAUUCCUGGUAAAUCGCGGAGAAGAGUGCCCUGAACAAAAAAGUCAGACCGAGACUAGAACCUCCCGCAGCGUAACACGGAAAUCUUGGAACAAAAGAGACGCCGACUGGCUCGUGUUGUCCGGUUUGGAUAUCAGAGGCAAAGCGAACGUUGUGUGUACUAUUGCAAAAUAUAUAGCGGAUCUCCACGGUUUGGAUAUCAGAGGCAAAGCGAACGUUGUGUGUACUAUUGCAAAAUAUAUAGCGGAUCUCCACGGUUAGGAUACAGACCACAACGCUUUGGACGUAUCUUUAAAAAAGAUUAAAAUCAGAGACUUUUUGGAUUUGUCUGGGGACAUUUUAAACAUUUUGUGGCAAAUUGGAUUUAAAACAUUUCGGAUACUGGAUACCUAGUUUGAUUUGUCCACAGAGCUUGUUUAAAACGUUUUCACCGCAUUUUAGGGUUUAUUUUUAAUUAAAGGCUUCUUAAAACAUGUGUGAAAAUGUGUAUAUUAUACAAUGAGUCUUAUAUUGUCUGCUCUGACAAAAAUAAAUUAUUAUUUUAGAUUUUA